ACUUGGGGGCCUGCUUGCGGGCUAGUCCUGCAGCUGCUGGCCCCCAAGAGCCCCCGCUCGAAGCGGGACCGACAUGGCUUGCGGAGGGAUGCCGUGGAUGAGUGCUGGCUGCCUCUGGAAUCGGGAUCCUGGGCUCAGUUCGGCCUCUGCCUCUCACUCCCUUUGUGAUCUCAGUUUGCUGUUUUCUGCUCCGCAUCCGUCCACUGGAGGAGUAGCCUUCCGAUCCAAUCAGAAUCUCUCAGCCCAUCCUCUGCAGUUCCCUGGUGCGCCUUCCUACAAUAUGGUUGCACUUUUCUCAAGAAUGGAAACUUCCUACCACAUUCUUUUCUGGACCUUUGUAAUGACUCUGAAACAACACGGGAGGGUAAUGUGGAAGAAUCUUGUCGAUAUCUUUGACUCUAAGCCAGAAAAGAACCAGAUAUAUUCUUUGAGGGGAACAAAUCUUGAAAAGAAAAGAACAGUCAAAAAUGAAGAGGCACCAGCGUUUAAGAAGAACAUUUAAAACCUAGAGAGUCUGGAGGAGGAGGGCAGCUGGGAUGAUUGAAGAUCCUUGACUCCAUCACAUAUGAGUAUCAUUUGAAGGAACUGGGCAGGCUUAGCCUGGAGAAGGGAAGACUCAGGGGAAGACAUGAUAUCUAUCUUCAAAUUUAGAAAGGGUGUCAUGUGGAGGUGGAAUUAGGUCUUAUGUCUUAUUCUGGUUGGCUCCAGAGGACAGAAUCAGAAACAACAGAAGAAUGUGCAGAGAGACCAAUUAAGGCUCGACCUUCACUUAGCCUUAAAACUGUUCAAAUGUAGAAUUGCCUAUCUCAAGAGGGGGCCAGUUCCCCCUCGUUGGAAGUUUUCCAGUAGAAGCAGGACAACCACUUGCCCAUUAUGUUACAGUAGAGAUUCCUUCUGUGAGAGGGCUGAACUAGAUGACUUUUGAGAUCUCUUCUAACCCUCAAGUUUGAUUUGAUUCAUAAUUAUGCAAAGAUAGAUUUCGGUUAGGGUGAGGCAAAAGAGCCAAGGCAGUGUCAAUUUGUUGGUGUUAAGUCAUGAGCUUUGGGCUGUGAAAGUGACAAGCAGUUUAAUGGGAUGGCUACCAUCUGGAAUGUCUUUAAUUAGAUGGGGAAUGGAGGUGCAGAAUAUUACUUUGGACUUUCUUUUAAACUUUUUGUUCCCUUUUUAGGAAAUGAGUAUUGUCAGGGUAUUAAGAAAUCCUUGAAUAUUUUUUAAAUAAGCACAAUGCAAUAAUGGCGUAAUAUUUCUCAUGCUAGCGAGAAUUUCUAUAUAGUUUCGUGAACUGUUUAUUAAUUAUCUAUCAAGAAGCAUUUACUGUACACCACAAAAAAAGAACCCAAAAGAGUAGCACAGUGUCUGGCUCAUGGUAGUCACAUGAUGAAUGUUUAUUGCCUGGGCAGCUUUCACUACCUUUCACUAAUAUUCUAGUAUCAAAACCUCAAAGUAUUUUAUGUUAUUGGAAGCUCAUAACUUUUCACAUGGAAGUGCAAUCAGAACACAGG
rnacentral:lncRNA from 1 species